rnacentral:lncRNA from 1 species
AACAAACGUGCAACUUCCCGGUAUGUACAACAAGGAAGAGAAUCCCCGUGUCCCUAUCAUCGUCACCGGUAACGAUUUCUCGACAUUGUAUGCUCCACUUAUCCGUGAUGGUCGUAUGGAGAAAUUCUACUGGGCACCUACCAGGGAUGAUAGAAUUGGUGUCUGCACUGGAAUCUUCAGAACUGAUGGUGUUCCACCGGAAGACAUUGUUAAGCUUGUUGAUACCUUCCCAGGACAAUCCAUUGGUCAGUUGAUGGAAAAAAAAAAAAAAAAAAAAAGAAGAAAAUUUAUAUUGUAAAAUCUUAGAGUUUAAGGAAAUUUAUUUCAUUAUGCAGACUUCUUCGGUGCUGUGAGGGCAAGAGUUUACGAUGAUGAAGUGAGGAAGUGGGUUUCAGGCGUAGGAGUGGAAACCAUUGGAAAGAAACUUGUGAACUCAAGAGAAGGACCCCCAACAUUCGAGCAACCAAAGAUGAACCUGGACAAGCUCCUUGAGUACGGACAGAUGCUUGUCCAAGAGCAAGAGAAUGUGAAGAGAGUUCAAUUGGCUGACAAGUACUUGAGUGAGGCUGCUCUUGGUGAGGCCAACCAAGAUUCCAUUGAUAGAGGAACAUUCUACGGUUAGCUCCCUUGAUCCUAAUAAAGGCCUUGAUGUGGAGGUUUGCAUCUAACAAAUCUUACAAGAACAUGUUUGUCUGAAUCACCCAAGAGUCUCCUUAAGCUUUUUUUUUGCUUUUGUUGUUGUUGUUGCAGGUCAAGCUGCCCAGCAAGUUAAUAUACCAGUUCCUGAAGGUUGCACUGAUCCAGGUGCAUCAAACUUUGAUCCAACUGCUAGGAGUGAUGAUGGGAGCUGCACUUACAAGUUCUAGGCCUUUUUAUUGGGAUUUUUUUAUGUUAAUCUGUGGAAGGAUAAUCACUUCCAAACUCAUUUGGGAUUUGUCAACCUAUAAUGUUUCCUUGUCUUGAAUGGAUUUCUAUCCUCUAAUUUUGUGUGAUUAUUACAAUUUUCAAUCAUCUUAAACCAGUGGUUUGUUUCCUACCACCAACUUUAGAGAAUUAUUUACUUGUGGCUUGAAAGACUCCAUAUUCAUAAUUAAUAAAUUUGAAAAUUUUAUUAUUAAAA